AUUGAACGCUGGCGGCAGGCCUAACACAUGCAAGUCGAGCGGAUGAGGGGAGCUUGCUCCUUGAUUCAGCGGCGGACGGGUGAGUAAUGCCUAGGAAUCUGCCUGGUAGUGGGGGAUAACGUUCCGAAAGGAACGCUAAUACCGCAUACGUCCUACGGGAGAAAGCAGGGGACCUUCGGGCCUUGCGCUAUCAGAUGAGCCUAGGUCGGAUUAGCUAGUUGGUGAGGUAAUGGCUCACCAAGGCGACGAUCCGUAACUGGUCUGAGAGGAUGAUCAGUCACACUGGAACUGAGACACGGUCCAGACUCCUACGGGAGGCAGCAGUGGGGAAUAUUGGACAAUGGGCGAAAGCCUGAUCCAGCCAUGCCGCGUGUGUGAAGAAGGUCUUCGGAUUGUAAAGCACUUUAAGUUGGGAGGAAGGGCAGUAAGUUAAUACCUUGCUGUUUUGACGUUACCAACAGAAUAAGCACCGGCUAACUUCGUGCCAGCCGCCGCGGUAAUAC
rnacentral:rRNA from 1 species